GACGAACCGUGCAAACGUUGUUCGGAAUCACUGGGCUUAAAGGGCGCGUAGGCGGGCUUCAAAGUCGGUGGUGAAAUCUUUCGGCCCAACCGGAAAAGUGCCGCCGAUACUGGGAGUCUCGAGGGAGGUAGGGGUCGAUGGAACUUUAGGUGGAGCGGUGAAAUGCGUAGAUAUCUAAAGGAACGCCGGUGGCGAAAGCGAUCGACUGGACCUCUUCUGACGCUGAGGCGCGAAAGCCAGGGGAGCAAACGGG
rnacentral:rRNA from 1 species